rnacentral:lncRNA from 1 species
AAAUGUGGAAUUCUGGCAUAGAUGAAGUACAUGGAAAUCAAGAAAAUGGAUGCCAGAAAUAAGACUCAUCAACGCACUGAGUGUGGCCCAAGAUUUUUGCCUGCCUCCUACCCACUCAGCAAGGAGCCACAAUUUGAUCCUAGAGAUUUGAUUCUAAUUGAGCAGGCUACUGUGGGUUCCUGAGGAUUUCUCCAACAAGAACAGUUGUGUUUGGUAUGUGCAUCUGAGUCGUUCGUGAAGGAUGGAAACUUCUUGGACAAACCUCCAAGUCAAUCAAAAGGAUUACCAGGAUUUUAAUCCCAAAUAUCAAAUCCCCAGCUGUUGGUAAAAAUGUAUGAUCUAUGGUUCUAAAUGACCACAGUUGAGUGACACUUUGAUUUUCACACAGGCUCCUUUUAAGUGGCAGAUGGUAUUCUAGUUAGUUUGACUGUAAGCUUCCUGGAGUCUGGGUUCUCCUUGGGUGGCAAACCUAGGAGAACCUAUAUAAUGGCAAACUCACAUUAAUUGGUACCAGUGGAUUUGCAGAGCAAAGUCUAAUUUCCUUGGCCUUGUUCAUUCUGCUUCUCAGCUUUUCCCUAUUUUCUUUCCAUUUCUGAAUCCUUCCAAGUCUACCUCAUAAUCUACUGUGAGGUCCUCAAGGUGACUUUGACCCCAAUCAUCUCUUCUAUUUCUUACCUCCUAAUGCAUUUGUGGUGUGUACCAUCCAACUCAGUUUAUAAUAAUAUUAUGUUUCAUAUAUUUCUCUUAUUAAUAUAUGUACAUUGGCUCUUCCUCUUUUAACUCCAGUUCCUUGAGGGUAGGGACAUUAUUUCACACCAUCCUUAUAACUUCUUCCUUUCCUUGAUAGUGUCCAACUCAGUGCCAAACAUCCAGCAAUUAACUAAAUAUUUCCAUACGGUUUAAAACAUAACUCUAGAAGCCUUUUGAAAAAUGUCAGUAACUUGCGAGUUUACAUUUUAAGCCAUAAUCAGUUGACCCCUUAAUUGGAAAUGAGCACUUUCUCUGGGUAACUUGUAUAUUCAUGUGGGAGGGCAGCAUAUAUAGGGCUAUGGGGAAGGAUGGAGAAUGGUUUUCACUUACUUCAUACUGUCGCCUCUAUUUACCCCAGUCUUUGAGAGCAGAUAUAGUGGAUCAAUCCAAGGAAGCAGACAUCUCACUAGGUAUUUCAACAUAGAGAAUUUAG